rnacentral:rRNA from 1 species
UACGUAGGGAGCAAGCGUUGUCCGGAUUCACUGGGUGUAAAGGGCGCGUAGGCGGCCACCGCAAGUCAGUUGUGAAAUCUCUGGGCUUAACCCAGAAAGGUCAACUGAUACUGCGGGGCUAGAGUGCAGAAGGGGCAACUGGAAUUCUCGGUGUAGCGGUGAAAUGCGUAGAUAUCGAGAGGAACACCUGCGGCGAAGGCGGGUUGCUGGGCUGACACUGACGCUGAGGCGCGAAAGCUAGGGGAGCGAACGGG